rnacentral:lncRNA from 1 species
CAGCGCAAUUAAGGACGGCUUUAUUCAUUGUCCCAUUAAUUUUACUUACUUACUUACUGGCAGAGGUAGCAGCAGUAGUAAUAAUCCUAAUAAUAAUUAAAACUAUUUACAUAAACCAUGUUUGAUCUGCACCCUUUAGUUUCAACAAAAGCACUAGAUUCAUGGGGUAACUUGGCCGAUAAUACAGGCAUAUAGGGGCAUGCAUCAGUUGGUACGUACAUGCUGGACAAGAGAUUAUACAGUGGUUACCCUUCUUCUUGCAAACAUAACAAUAGUUUAGCUUAAUCGCUGCCAUGAACUUAUGCUAGGAUUCAACCAACGGUGAGCAACCACUUUUGCAGGUGAGGAUGCUCGCAAUCGAUGGAUAGGCACGGCAAUUAAUCAUGGUGUGGUGGUGGUGGUUGUGGUGGUCG